rnacentral:lncRNA from 1 species
CCAAAACAGCUGGGGAGUAAUAAACAAACAAGCCUGCUGAAUUACAGUUUGGAGGAAAAGCACAAAAUCACUAUUAUGUGUAGUAUCCUGUAACUGUUGUGGGUGCCAAAAUAUGAAAGACCCAACAUGCUGCUCUAGACUGAUACUGAAGCUAACAUAACGCAGUUCAUGAGAGAACAUCAUUGGUAUUCUCCAGGGGUCAAGGAAAGAAAGCACAGCUGGUUGUAUGGAUUGUCAAGAGGAU